rnacentral:rRNA from 1 species
UACGUAGGGGACGAGCGUUGUCCGGAAUUACUGGGCGUAAAGGGCGCGCAGGCUGUAGAUCAAGUCAGCUGUGAAAUGUCUGGGCUUAACCCGGGCAUGCGGUUGAAACUGAUGUACUGGAGUGCUGGAGAGGGAAGUGGAAUUCCCAGUGUAGCGGUGAAAUGCGUAGAUAUUGGGAAGAACACCGGUGGCGAAGGCGACUUGCUGGGCAGCAACUGACGCUGAGGCGCGAAAGCCAGGGGAGCAAACGGGGAUUAGAUA